UACAGAGGGUGCGAGCGUUGUCCGGAAUCACUGGGCGUAAAGGGCGCGUAGGUGGUGGCUUAAGCGUGCGGUGAAAGCUCGGGGCUCAACCCCGGAGUCGGCCGUGCGAACUGGGCUCACUGGAGCAUAGUAGAGGCAGGUGGAAUUCCGGGUGUAGCGGUGGAAUGCGUAGAGAUCCGGAAGAACACCAGUGGCGAAGGCGGCCCGCUGGGCAGUGGCUGACGCUGAGGCGCGACAGCGUGGGGAGC
rnacentral:rRNA from 1 species